rnacentral:rRNA from 1 species
AUACGUAGGGGACGAGCGUUGUCCGGAAUUACUGGGCGUAAAGGGCGCGCAGGCGGAUAUUUAAGUCAGCUGUAAAAGGCAUGAGCUCAACUCAUGUAUGCGGUUGAAACUGGGUAUCUAGAGUGCUGGAGAGGUAGGCGGAAUUCCCGGUGUAGCGGUGAAAUGCGUAGAUAUCGGGAAGAAAACCAGUGGCGAAGGCGGCUUACUGGCCAGCAACUGACGCUGAGGCGCGAAAGCCAGGGGAGCGAACGGGAUUAGAUCCCCCGGUAGUCCUGGCCGUAAACGAUGAAUGCUAGGUGUGGGUGUCGAGAGGCAUCCGUGCCGGAGUUAACGCGAUAAGCAUUCCGCCUGGGGAGUACGAUCGCAAGAUUGAAACUCAAAUGAAUUGACGGGG